rnacentral:rRNA from 1 species
CCUACGGGUGGCAGCAGUAAGGAAUAUUGGACAAUGGGCGCAAGCCUGAUCCAGCCAUGCCGCGUGCAGGAUGACGGCCCUAUGGGUUGUAAACUGCUUUUAUACGGGAAAAAACCCCUCUACGUGUAGAGGGCUGAUGGUACCGUAAGAAUAAGGAUCGGCUAACUCCGUGCCAGCAGCCGCGGUAAUACGGAGGAUCCGGGCGUUAUCCGGAUUAAUUGGGUUUAAGGGGUACUUAGACGGAAGUGUUGAAAUCCUGAAGCUUAACUGUAGAACUGCCAGUGAUACUGCAAGUCUUGAGUACAUAUGAUGUGGGCGGAAUGUGUAGUGUAGCGGUGAAAUGCUUAGAUAUUACACAGAACACCAAUUGCGAAGGCAGCUCACAAAACUGUAACUGACGCUGAGGCACGAAAGCGUGGGGAGUGAACAGGAUUAGAUACCCGAGUAGUC